UAAGGAAUAUUGGUCAAUGGACGCAAGUCUGAACCAGCCAUGCCGCGUGCAGGAUGACUGCCCUAUGGGUUGUAAACUGCUUUUGUACGGGAAUAAACCCUUCUACGUGUAGAAGGCUGAAGGUACCGUAAGAAUAAGGAUCGGCUAACUCCGUGCCAGCAGCCGCGGUAAUACGGAGGAUCCAAGCGUUAUCCGGAUUCAUUGGGUUUAAAGGGUGCGUAGGCGGGAUAGUAAGUCAGUGGUGAAAGCCUGUUGCUUAACAACAGAACUGCCAUUGAUACUGCUAACCUUGAGUGUACUUGAAGUGGGCGGAAUGUGUCAUGUAGCGGUGAAAUGCUUAGAUAUGACACAGAACACCGAUUGCGAAGGCAGCUCACUAAAUUACAACUGACGCUGAGGC
rnacentral:rRNA from 1 species